rnacentral:tRNA from 1 species
GUUAAUGUAGCUUAUUUAUAAAGCAAGGCACUGAAAAUGCCUAGAAGA